rnacentral:rRNA from 1 species
UUUAUUGGAGAGUUUGAUCCUGGCUCAGGAUGAACGCUGGCGGCGUGCCUAAUACAUGCAAGUCGAGCGAAUGGAUUAAGAGCUUGCUCUUAUGAAGUUAGCGGCGGACGGGUGAGUAACACGUGGGUAACCUGCCCAUAAGACUGGGAUAACUCCGGGAAACCGGGGCUAAUACCGGAUAAUAUUUUGAACUGCAUGGUUCGAAAUUGAAAGGCGGCUUCGGCUGUCACUUAUGGAUGGACCCGCGUCGCAUUAGCUAGUUGGUGAGGUAACGGCUCACCAAGGCAACGAUGCGUAGCCGACCUGAGAGGGUGAUCGGCCACACUGGGACUGAGACACGGCCCAGACUCCUACGGGAGGCAGCAGUAGGGAAUCUUCYGCAAUGGACGAAAGUCUGACGGAGCAACGCCGCGUGAGUGAUGAAGGCUUUCGGGUCGUAAAACUCUGUUGUUAGGGAAGAACAAGUGCUAGUUGAAUAAGCUGGCACCUUGAC